AAUCCAUAGGUUAAUGAGGCGAACCGGGGGAACUGAAACAUCUAAGUACCCCGAGGAAAAGAAAUCAACCGAGAUUCCCCCAGUAGCGGCGAGCGAACGGGGAGGAGCCCAGAGCCUGAAUCAGCAUGUGUGUUAGUGGAAGCGUCUGGAAAGGCGCGCGAUACAGGGUGACAGCCCCGUACACAAAAGCGCAUGUGCUGUGAGCUCGAUGAGUAGGGCGGGACACGUGGUAUCCUGUCUGAAUAUGGGGGGACCAUCCUCCAAGGCUAAAUACUCCUGACUGACCGAUAGUGAACCAGUACCGUGAGGGAAAGGCGAAAAGAACCCCGGCGAGGGGAGUGAAAAAGAACCUGAAACCGUGUACGUACAAGCAGUGGGAGCCCUACCACCAAAGCAUUUGCUGUACCGCGUUGACGGAGCGAAGCGACGUCAAACCGAUAAAACAGCAGUGUAAAGUGAGCCGCAGGGCGCUUUGCGCGACAGCGCAAAGGCAGGCGGUUUCGCGUAGCGAAAGCGAAUGCUUUGGGGUGGGGUGACUGCGUACCUUUUGUAUAAUGGGUCAGCGACUUAUAUUCUGUAGCAAGGUUAACCGAAUAGGGGAGCCGGAGGGAAACCGAGUCUUAAUUGGGCGUUAAGUUGCAGGGUAUAGACCCGAAACCCGGUGAUCUAGCCAUGGGCAGGUUGAAGGGUGGGUAACACUAACUGGAGGACCGAACCGACUAAUGUUGAAAAAUUAGCGGAUGACCUGUGGCUGGGGGUGAAAGGCCAAUCAAACCGGGAGAUAGCUGGUUCUCCCCGAAAGCUAUUUAGGUAGCGCCUCGUGAAUUCAUCUCCGGGGGUAGAGCACUGUUUCGGCUAGGGGGCCAUCCCGGCUUACCAACCCGAUGCAAACUGCGAAUACCGGAGAAUGUUAUCACGGGAGACACACGGCGGGUGCUAACGUCCGUCGUGAAGAGGGAAACAACCCAGACCGCCAGCUAAGGUCCCAAAGUCAUGGUUAAGUGGGAAACGAUGUGGGAAGGCCCAGACAGCCAGGAUGUUGGCUUAGAAGCAGCCAUCAUUUAAAGAAAGCGUAAUAGCUCACUGGUCGAGUCGGCCUGCGCGGAAGAUGUAACGGGGCUAAACCAUGCACCGAAGCUGCGGCAGCGACACUGUGUGUUGUUGGGUAGGGGAGCGUUCUGUAAGCCUGUGAAGGUGUGUCGUGAGGC
rnacentral:rRNA from 1 species